rnacentral:rRNA from 1 species
UACGUAGGGGGCUAGCGUUGUCCGGAAUCAUUGGGCGUAAAGCGCGUGUAGGCGGUCCGGUAAGUCCGCUGUGAAAGUCGGGGGCUCAACCCUCGAAUGCCGGUGGAUACUGUCGGGCUAGAGUACGGAAGAGGCGAGUGGAAUUCCUGGUGUAGCGGUGAAAUGCGCAGAUAUCAGGAGGAACACCGAUGGCGAAGGCAGCUUGCUGGGACGGUACUGACGCUGAGACGCGAAAGCGUGGGGAGCAAACAGG